AAGACCGGUGGGUCUGACUGGUGAAAACCAUUGAUUUCAAACCCACCGGUCAAGGUGUGACAAAAGGGCUUUAAACCCCUGUUUUUGACCCUUUUUCAUUUCUUUCUCUUCCACUCCAACUCAGGAGACUUGGGGCAAUUUUUAGGCGAUCCCUUACGAUUCAACUUGCCUAAUCGACACAACGAUCCAUCCAAGUUGCAUACUUUCCCAUCUAAUCUUCAAGAUUCCACCCCGAAAAGGCAAGGAACCUACAGAUCCAUCAAGAAAGAGGAAGGCUUCUAAGGCCAAGAAGAAAGAGGUGGGGUCUAGUUCUUUAGCUCCAUCUCCGCCUAGAGAAAGGGAGGAGCCUGAAGACCCGACCAACUACGACGAGAUGGUCUUCUAUAGCUCGAGGGCCGCAUCUUCAUGGGAUACCUUCCGCUCAUUACCCGUGACAUUGGAGAAACAAGUGGUGGUGGAGCAUUUGGCCCACAUUUUCCUCUUGGAGAGAUUUACUACCCUAGGUUGGGAGGCUAUCCUAAACAUUGAUUGGCCUUGCUACAAGGACUUAGUGCGAAAGUUUUAUUGUAUCCUUGAGGCCAUAGAGGAGGAUGGAGAGUUUGCCAUAAUCAGUAUGAUGAAGGGUGUGGAGAUCAUCCUGACUGUAGAUCGGUUGGCAGAGAUCAUGGGUAUUUCCUCAGAGGACAUCUACUACUACAAUCCUCCUAGGACUAGAGGUAUAGGCCCACUGAUUAGCCGGGACAUGCAGGAGCAUAUAUACGAGGUAAUCAGUGGCACACGAGUGAGGCCUGCAUCUGAGACAGAAUUUUCUCCUAAGGGCAGAGUAUAUGCUAGGUUGAUGCAGUUUAACCUAGCUCCUAAACUGGUCAUAGGAAUCAUGUGGGUUUUAUGGGUUACUUCCCUGCUUUUCUUGCAUGAUCGGACUAAUAUGACUUAAGCAAUGAUGGCAUCUACCAUCCAUUUUGUAAUUUAUUUUCAUUUGUGUACUUAGAGUUUGAAUUAUAAUUAUGGUAGUGCUUAUGAAAUUCUAAAUGGUUUGCUU